CGGCACCGCCGGCCCGGGCGGGCCUGAGCCACGGCCGGCCGCGGGACAGCGCCACUGAGCGCAGGCGGGCGUUUACAUGCGCAAUUUGCAUAUGCAAAUCUGUGUUAUCAUGUAUGCAAGGACAGGUGUCUGUCGGAGAGAGUGGGGUGAAUAUAUUACACACAUGAGAAGCGUUGUGUGCUGCCGAUGCUAUGAAAAGGGGCAUCUGAGGCUGCACAGACUACAAAUAUACAUGUGUACAUAAAAGGAGACUGUGUGAGGCUGUGAUACAUAUACAUCUAUACAUAUAUGUAGAUAUAUGUAAUAUAUAAUUAAAGAUAAUGUUGUAAUAUAGCAACAUGUAUGGUACCCAACAGAAAACAAUACCAUGACACUGUGGGAUGUAACAGUAAAUAUAAGUACAAAUAAUACACUACAUAACACAUGUCAGAUAUAAAAUACCCUGUGCAUUUUGUUAUAUGUUCUGGGUUAUUACAGUUACAUAAAGAAAUGAAAAAGUGCCUGGGAGUGGGUGCAUUCGCAGAGUAUAAAUGUCUGUGUAUAAAAUGGUGAGAGAGUGAAAAUAACACAAAUCACACCAUAUAUUGUUGAGUGCUCUAUGGUGUAACAUUAGGAUAAAAGGAGACUGUAUAACACAUGGGCCUAUAGAUAAGAAUGUAUGUGUAUGAAUACAUGUACUAAAGGUGUUUAUAUAUUAUGUAAAUAUUAGAUAUAUAAGACAUA